rnacentral:rRNA from 1 species
UGUCAAGUCCUCAUGGCCCUUAUGGGUAGGGCUUCACACGUCAUACAAUGGCCGGUACAGAGGGAAGCGAACCCGCGAGGGGGAGCGGAUCCUUGAAAGCCGGUCGUAGUCCGGAUCGCAGUCUGCAACUCGACUGCGUGAAGUCGGAAUCGCUAGUAAUCGCGGAUCAGCAUGUCGCGGUGAAUACGUUCCCGGGUCUU